rnacentral:lncRNA from 1 species
CAAUGCUGUGGACUCGAUUGGAUGUACCAUGCUAAUAGCGAUACCUAGGACCAAGAACUCCGAAAUACAUAUCUCCACACCUUUAAAUAUUGUGGUACGUAAAAAUUGCCAUAAAUUUUGUAAAUUUUGCUUGGCGUCUUAAUUAACGGGAGAUUGAAAUUAACCGGGUUCAAUUAAAACCUCAAGUUAAUAUAGGUAUUAUUAGACAAAUCACUUUAUUGUAUUUUGUCGAUUCAGCUUUAUACUGAUUUUAUUGAGUAAUUAUUUAGCGACUGUUUUGUUAUUUGUUUUGUUUUGCGCGGGCAAAUGCUGUUCAGAAGUAUCUGGUUGAACUUCAAUCUCAACUGAAUUCGGUAUAUUAUGUCAUGUUUUAUGUUGACUAUGUCUAUUUCAUAUUAUGCUAUUUGAAUUUUUUUUGUAAUGACUAGUGACGUGUAUUUGUGUUAUUUGCGAAGACCAAUGUGUGGAAUCGAUUGGAUGUACCCAUUGCUAAUAGCGGAUUACCUAGGCCCCCCAGAACUUUUCUGAAAUAAUAUCUCCACACCUUAAAAGAUUGUGGUGUAAACGGUGAAAGUAAGUAAAAAUUGCUAUAAAUUUUAUAAAUUUAUCUUGGGUCUUAAUUAACUGAGAUUGAAAUUCCCCGGGUUCAAUUUCCACCUCAAGUUAAUUAGGUAUUAUUAGACAAUACCUAUAUUGUAUGUCGUUUUGUCUAUUUCAUUAUGCUGAUUGAUUUGAGAUGAAUAUUUAGCGAUGUUUUGUUAUUUGUUUUGUUUUUCGAGGGGAAAUGUUGUUGAUUAUCUGGUUAUCUUCAACCUCAAGUUAAUUCGGUAUUAUAUGUCCCCAUGUUUUAUGUUGUACUAUGUCUAUUUCCAUAUUAUGAUGAUUUGACUUUUUUUGAAUGACUAGUGACCUUUUUAUAUUUGUGUUAUAUUGCGAGGACCAAUGCUUGGACUCAUUGGAGUUUGUACAUGAUGAUACGAUACCUAGGACCAAGAACUCCGAAAUACAUAUCUCCACCUUUAAAUAUUGUGCGUACGUAAAAUUGACUAUAAAUUUGUAAUUAUCUUGGUCUUAAUUAAAUUGAGAUUAAAAUUUCCUCGGGUUUAAUUUCAAACUCAAGUAAUAGGUAUUAUUAUGCAUACGUUAUGUUGUAUUUUUAUUCAUAUUAUACUGAUUGAAUUUUUGUUGUUGGUAAUAGCGACUAUUUUGCAUUUGUUUGUGUUGCGAGGGUAAAUACUGUUGAUUAUCUGGUUUAACUUCAACUAAGUUAAUUCGGGUAUAUAUGUCAUGCCUUAUGUUUGUACUUGUAUAUUUCCAAAUUGCUGAUUUGAAUGAUUUGAGUAAUGAGUAGUGACUUUUUGCAUUAUUUUAUUUUGCGAGAACCAAUUGCUGUGGAUCGAUUUGGAUGUACCAUGCUAAUAGCGAUACCAGGACCAAGACCUAUGAAAUCCAUACCCACACCUUUAAAGUGGGUUUGGUACGUAAAAAACGGCUAGAAAUUUUGAAAUUUAUCUUGGGUUGUAAUUAACUUGAGAUUUAAAUUUUCCGGGUUCCAAUUUCAACCUCAAGUUAAUUAGGUAUAUUAGGACAAUACCUUAUAUUGUAUUUUUUCUAUUUCAUUUAGUAUACUGAUUUGAAUUUUUGGAGUAAUAUUUAGAGAAGUGUUUUUGUAUUUGUUUUGUUUUUGGCGAGGGCAAAUGCUGUAGAUUUCUGGUUUUAACUUCAAUCUCACUUUAAUCGGUAUUAUAUGUCCUUGUCUUUGUGUACUUUGUCUAUUUCAUAUUAUGGCUGAUUUGAAUUUUUUUGUAUUCUCACUAUUGAUUUUUUGUAUUUGUGUUUAUUUUUGCGAGGAGCAAUGCUGUGACUCUAUUUUGAUGUACUCAUUCUCAUAGCAAUUCCCUAGGCCCAAGACUUUUCCUUAAAUACAAUCUCCACACCUUAAAAUAGUUUUUUCGUACAAACUUGCUAUAAAUUUUUGUAAAUUUUAUCUGGGUCCUUAAUUAACUUGAGAUUGAAAUUUCCUCCCGGGUUCAAUUUUUCCACCUCAAGUUAAUUGGUUAUUAUUAACAAUACCUAUAAUUGUAUUUGGUCCCUAUUUCAUAUUAUCUGAUUUGAAUUUUUUGAGGUAAUAUUUGCGACUGUUUUGUAUUUUUGUUUUUUGUUUUGGCGGGGCAAAUGCUGUAGAUUACCUGGUUUAACUUCAAAACUUCAACCUCAACUUAUUCGGUAAUUAUAGUCCUUGGUCUUAUGUUUGUACUUUUUCUAUUCAUAUUAUCCCCAUGAUUUGAAUGUUUUGAGUCAUGAGUUAGUGACUUUUUUUGUGUUUUUGCCAUUUAUUUAUUUUGCGAGACCAAUAUGCUGUGGACUCGAUGGAUUACCAUGCUAUAGCGAUACCUAGGCCCCAGAACUAGCAAAUACAUACCGCCACAGACACACUUUACCUUUGUGGUAACGUAAAAAUUGUAUAAAUUUUUUUAUAAUUUAUCUUGGGUCUUAAUUAACCUUGGAGAUUAAAUUUUUCCGGGUUGGUUCCACUUUCAAACCAACCUCACAAGUUAAUUAGGUAUAUUACCAAUAACCUUAUAUUGUAAUUUUGUCUAUUUCAUCUGUAAUACGAUUUGAAAUUUUUGAGUAAUAUAUUUAGCGAUUGUUUUUUAUUUGUUUUGUUUUUUUGCGAGGGCAUGCUGUAGAUUAUCUGGGGGGGGUUUUUUUAACUUCAAUCUCCACUUAAUUUGGUAUUAAUGCCCUUGUCCUUAUGUUGUACUUUUUGUCAUUUCAUAUUAUGCUGAUUUGAAUUUUUUUUGUACUGACUAGUGACUUUUUUGUAUUUGUGUUAUUUUGGCGAGGACCAAUGCUGUGGACCUCGAUUGGGAUGUCCAUGCUAAUAGCAUACCUAGGCCCAAGAACUUUUCUGAAAUACAUAUCCAUCCCCACACCUAAAAUAUUGUGGUACUGUCAAAAUUGCUAUCAAUUUUGUAAAUUCUUCUUGGGUCUUAAUUAACUUUAGAUUGAAAUUCCUCCCGGGUUCAAUUUCCACCUCAAGAGUUAAUAAUUAGGUAUAUUUAGACAAUCCCUUAUAUUGUAUUUUUGUCUAUUUCAUAUUCUACUGAUUUGAAUUUUUGAGUAAUAUUUAUGCGACUGUUUUGGUAUUUGUUUUGUUUUCGAGUGCAAUUGGCUGUGAUUACCUACCUGGUUUAACUUCAACCUCAACUUAAUUCGUAUUAUAUUUCUUUGUCUUAAUGUUUGUACUUUUUCUAUUUCAUAUUAUGCUUAUUUGAAUUUUUUUUGUAUGACUACGUGACUUUUUUGUAUUUGUGUUAUUUUUUUGCGAGGCCCAAUGUUUUGGACUCGAUUGGAUGUACAUGCUAAUAAGCGUACCUAUUUCCCCAGAACUUUUCUGAAUACAUAUCUCCACUCCACAACCUUAAAAUUUGUGGUACGUAAAAUUAAUAUAAAUUUUUAUAAAUUUAUCUUGGGUCUUAAUUAACUGAGAAUUGAAAUUCCACCGGGUUCAUUUCCACCUCAAGUUAAUUAGGUAUUAUUAGACAAUACCUUAUAUUGUCUUUUGUCUAUUUCAUAUUGUGUCUGAUUUGAAUUUUGGUAAUAUUUAUCGACUGUUUUGGUAUUUGUUUUUGGUUUUGCGAGGUAAAUGCGUUGAUUAGUCUGGUUUAUCUUAACCUCAAGUUAUUCGGUAAUUAUCUGUUUCCAUGUUUUAUGUUUUACUAGUCGAUUUCAAAUAUGCUGAUUUGAAUUUUUUUGUAAUGACUCGUGACUUUUUGUAUUUGUGUUAUUUUGGCGGAGGAACCAAUGCUGUGGCUCGCUUGGAUGUACCAUGCUAAUAGCUAUAACCCCUAGGACCAAGAACGUCUCCGAAAUACAUAUCUCCACAUCUUUAAAUAUUGUUGUCCGUCAAAUUGCAUAAUUUUUGUAAAUUUAUCUGGGGGUCUUAAUUAACUUGAGAUUAAAAUUUCUCGGUUCAAUUUAAACCUCAGUUAAUUAAGGUAUUAUGAUGCAAUACGUUAUGUUGUAUUUUUUUUUAUUUCAUAUUAUGCUGAUUUGAAUUUUUGUGCAAUAUUUAGCAACUAUUUUUGCAUUUGUUUUGCGAGGGUAAAUGCUGUUGAUUAUCUGGUUUAACUUCAACCUCAAGUUAAUUCGGUAUUAUAUGUCAUUGCCUUAUGUUGUACUUUGUAUAUUUCAAAUUAUGCUGAUUUGAAUGUUUGAGUAAUGAGUAGUGACUUUUUGCAUUUAUUUUAUUUUGCGAGAACCAAUGCUGUGGACUCGAUUGGAUGUACCAUGCUAAUAGCGAUACCUAGGCCCAAGACCUAUGAAAU